GGCUGGUUAGCUUAGUCAGUAGAGCAUAGAGCUGACAAUGCUAAGGUCGCGGGUUCGAUUCCCAUUUGGUCCC
rnacentral:tRNA from 1 species